rnacentral:rRNA from 1 species
UACAGAGACUGCAAGCGUUAUUCGGAUUCACUGGGCGUAAAGGGUGCGCAGGCGGCCAAGUGUGUUAGGCGUGAAAGCCCGGGGCUUUAACCCCGGAAUUGCACCUAAAACUACAUGGCUAGAGCAUUGGAGAGGGUAGCAGAAUUCAUGGUGUAGCAGUGAAAUGCGUAGAUAUCAUGAGGAAUACCAGAGGCGAAGGCGGCUACCUGGACAAUUGCUGACGCUCAGGCACGAAAGCGUGGGGAGCAAACAGG